rnacentral:rRNA from 1 species
CCUUGUACACACCGCCCGUCACACCAUGGGAAUUGGUUCUACCCGAAGCCGGUGCGCCAACCGCAAGGAGGCAGCCGACCACGGUAGGGUCAGUGACUGGGGUG